UCUUGCUACAGAUGUCACACCACAGUCGUAUGACACAUGCAAAGCACCCAAGAGCUACAGAUUGCGUACUGAGAAAACUUAUCACAACCUCUGUACACUGUCCUUUGCUACAACAGCAAUGCUCAACAAGCAAGUAAACUUUGUUUUGUCUAUUGUUAUCGCUAUUUUGGAGUCGCUCUCUGGUGAUCAAACAUUACUUUGCCCAACAUACAGAGAAGACUUAGAUAUUAUACUGUACAAACAAAAUAUUACGGUGUAUCAACUUGUUGGAUCUCGGAUCACAUUUCGUGCAAAUCGAUCCGACAUAAGACUACGAGUUACGCCGUCUAGUAACUUUCGUUGGACUGUCAACACUUUUGAAAAUAA